UUCCAGACUCCUACGGGAGGCAGCAGUGAGGAAUAUUGGUCAAUGGACGAGAGUCUGAACCAGCCAAGUAGCGUGAAGGAUGACUGCCCUAUGGGUUGUAAACUUCUUUUAUAUGGGAAUAAAAUGUUCCACGUGUGGGAUUUUGUAUGUACCAUAUGAAUAAGGAUCGGCUAACUACGUGCCAGCAGCCGCGGUCAUACGUAGGAUCCGAGCAUUAUCCGGAGUGACUGGGUGUAAAGAGUUGCGUAGGUGGCAUAAUAAGUAGCUAGUGAAAUCUGGUGGCUCAACCAUUCAGACUAUUAGCUAAACUGUUAAGCUCGAGACCGUUAGGGGUAACUGGAAUUUCUAGUGUAGGAGUGAAAUCCGUAGAUAUUAGAAGGAACACCAAUAGCGUAGGCAGGUUACUGGGACGGUUCUGACACUAAGGCACGAAAGCGUAGGGAGCAAACGGGAUUAGAUACCCGUGUAAUG
rnacentral:rRNA from 1 species